AGAGUGCGUAACAGCUCACUAGUCGAGCGUUCUUGCGCGGAAAAUGAUCGGGCAUAAAGGUAUAAACCGAAGCGUUGGACCACGUGAGUGGUGGUAGGGGAGCAUUCUAAUUGAGGAGAAGGUAUGUUGUGAGGCAUAUUGGAUUGAUUAGAAAAGAAAAUGUAGGCAUAAGUAACGAUAAGGGAGGUGAGAUGCCUUCCCGCCGUAAGACCAAGGAUUCCUGGAUCUAUGUUAAUCAGAUCAGGGUUAGUCGGGGCCUAAGGAGUAGCCGAGAGGCGAAUCUGAUGGGAAACCGGUUAAUAUUCCGGUACCUGUGUAUACUGCGAUGGGGUGACGGAGAGGCGUAAGGACUGCGUACUGACGGAAUAGUACGUUGAAGCGAGUAGGUGAUGAGACGGCAGGCAAAUCCGCCGUUGAGCUGAUGCGUGAUAGUACAGGGUUUUGCGUGCAAGACCUUGAUAAUGUCCCUAAGCGAGCUUCCAAGAAAUCCCUCUUAGCUUCAGGUAUGCAGAGCCCGUACCGUAAACCGACACAGGUGGUCGAGGAGAGUAUCCUAAGGCGCUCGAGUGAAUCAUGGCUAAGGAAUUAGGCAAAAUGGCCUCGUAACUUCGGGAGAAGAGGCGCUCAUAGAAAUGUGAGCCGCAGUGAAAAGGCCCAGGCGACUGUUUAGCAAAAACACAGGACUCUGCGAAUUCGAAAGAAGAAGUAUAGGGUCUGACACCUGCCCGGUGCUGGAAGGUUAAGGAAGGGGGUUAGCGCAAGCGAAGCUCUUGACUGAAGCCCCAGUAAACGGCGGCCGUAACUAUAACGGUCCUAAGGUAGCGAAAUUCCUUGUCGGGUAAGUUCCGACCUGCACGAAUGGUGUAACGAUCUGGGCACUGUCUCAGCCAUGAGCUCGGUGAAAUUGUAGUAUCGGUGAAGAUGCCGAUUACCCGCAACGGGACGGAAAGACCCCGUGAACCUUUACUAUAGCUUCACAUUGAGCUUGGAUGCAGGAUGUGUAGGAUAGGUGGGAGACUAUGAGUAUGGUACGCCAGUACUGUAGGAGUCGUUGUUGAAAUACCACCCUUCCUGUAUUUAGGUUCUAAUCCGGGAUGACCCGGGGACAGUGUGUGGUGGGUAGUUUGACUGGGGUGGUCGCCUCCAAAAGAGUAACGGAGGCUUGCAAAGGUUCCCUCAGCAUGGUCGGUAAUCAUGCGUAGAGCGUAUUAGUAUAAGGGAGCUUGACUGAGAGACCGACGGGUCGAACAGGUAGGAAACUAGGCUAAAGUGAUCCGGUGGUUCCGUAUGGAAGGGCCAUCGCUCAAAGGAUAAAAGGUACGCCGGGGAUAACAGGCUGAUCUCCCCCAAGAGCUCACAUCGACGGGGAGGUUUGGCACCUCGAUGUCGGCUCGUCACAUCCUGGGGCUGGAGAAGGUCCCAAGGGUUGGGCUGUUCGCCCAUUAAAGUGGCACGCGAGCUGGGUUCAGAACGUCGCAAGACAGUUCGGUCUCUAUCUACUGUGGGCGUAGGAAUAUUGAGGAGAUCUGACACUAGUACGAGAGGACCGUGUUGGACAUACCUCUGGUGCACCAGUUAUGCCGCCAGGUGUACAGCUGGGUAGCUAUGUAUGGAACGGAUAAGUGCUGAAAGCAUCUAAGCACGAAGCCGACUCCAAGAUGAGUAUUCCGGUCGCAAGACGAAGGGUUGUUGUAGAUGACGACGUUGAUAGGCUACAGGUGGAAGUGCAGUGAUGUAUGGAGCCGAGUAGUACUAAUUACCCGAUAGCUUCCUUUU
rnacentral:rRNA from 1 species